rnacentral:rRNA from 1 species
UACGUAGGGGGCAAGCGUUGUCCGGAUUUAUUGGGCGUAAAGAGCGUGUAGGCGGUUCGGUAGGUCCGUUGUGAAAACUCGAGGCUCAACCUCGAGACGCCGAUGGAAACCCUCGAACUAGAGUCCGGAAGAGGAGAGUGGAAUUCCUGGUGUAGCGGUGAAAUGCGCAGAUAUCGGGAAGAACACCCGUGGCGAAGGCGGCUCUCUGGGACGGUACUGACGCUGAGACGCGAAAGCGUGGGGAGCGAACAGG